rnacentral:snRNA from 1 species
GUGUUUGCUUCGGCAGCACAGAUACUAAAACCGAACCAAUACAGAGAAGAUUAGCAUGGCCCCUGCUCAAGGAUGACAUGCAAAUUCAUGACGCAUUACU